AUACGGAGGAUGCGAGCGUUAUCCGGAUUUAUUGGGUUUAAAGGGUGCGUAGGCGGGAUUUUAAGUCAGCGGUGAAACGCAAGGGCUCAACCCUUGACCUGCCGUUGAAACUGGAGUUCUUGAAUGCGGAUGCUGUGGGAGGAAUGUGUGGAGUAGCGGUGAAAUGCAUAGAUAUCACACAGAACACCGAUUGCGAAGGCAUCUCACAAAUCCGUGAUUGACGCUGAGGCACGAAAGUGUGGGGAUCAAACAGGAUUAGAUACCCAGGUAGUCCACACUGUAAACGAUGAUAACUCGCUGUCGGCGAUACACAGUCGGUGGCCAAGCGAAAGCGAUAAGUUAUCCACCUGGGGAGUACGACCGCAAGGUUGAAACUCAAAGGAAUUGACGGGG
rnacentral:rRNA from 1 species